GUUGGGNACUAGGUGUGGGGGACAUUCNCGUUCUCCNCGCCGUAGCUAACGCAUUAAGUGCCCCGCCUGGGGAGUACGGCCGCAAGGCUAAAACUCAAAGGAAUUGACGGGGGCCCGCACAAGCGGCGGAGCAUGCGGAUUAAUUCGAUGCAACGCGAAGAACCUUACCAAGGCUUGACAUUCACCGGACCGCCCCAGAGAUGGGGUUUCCCUUCGGGGUCGGUGGACAGGUGGUGCAUGGUUGUCGUCAGCUCGUGUCGUGAGAUGUUGGGUUAAGUCCCGCAACGAGCGCAACCCUCGUUCUAUGUUGCCAGCACGUGAUGGUGGGGACUCAUAGGAGACUGCCGGGGUCAACUCGGAGGAAGGUGGGGAUGACGUCAAAUCAUCAUGCCCCUUAUGUCUUGGGCUUCACGCAUGCUACAAUGGCCGGUACAAAGGGUUGCGAUACUGUGAGGUGGAGCUAAUCCCAAAAAGCCGGUCUCAGUUCGGAUUGAGGUCUGCAACUCGACCUCAUGAAGUCGGAGUCGCUAGUAAUCGCAGAUCAGCAACGCUGCGGUGAAUACGUUCCCGGGCCUUGUACACACCGCCCGUCAAGUCACGAAAGUUGGUAACACCCGAAGCCGGUGGCCUAACCCCUUGUGGGAGGGAGCCGUCGAAGGUGGGACUGGCGAUUGGGACUAAGUCGUAACAAGGNNNAAC
rnacentral:rRNA from 1 species